AACGAACGCUGGCGGUAUGCUUAACACAUGCAAGUCGAACGAACGUAUUGAUUUCGGUUAAUACGUUAGUGGCAGACGGGUGAGUAACGCGUGGGAAUGUACCCUUUAGUUCAGAAUAACUACGGGAAACUGUAGCUAAUACUGGAUACGCCCUUCGGGGGAAAGAUUAAUCGCUAAAGGAACAGCCCGCGUUAGAUUAGGUAGUUGGUGAGGUAAAGGCUCACCAAGCCGACGAUCUAUAGCUGGUUUGAGAGGAUGAUCAGCCACACUGGGACUGAGACACGGCCCAGACUCCUACGGGAGGCAGCAGUGGGGAAUAUUGGACAAUGGGGGCAACCCUGAUCCAGCAAUACCGCGUGAGUGAAGAAGGCCUUCGGGUUGUAAAGCUCUUUUACCGGGGAAGAUAAUGACGGUACCCGGGGAAUAAGCUCCGGCUAACUUCGUG
rnacentral:rRNA from 1 species